rnacentral:sRNA from 3 species
UUUGCGUUAGGGAUGGGAGCGGCAUCCUCUAGGGGCGGGGUUCGCCCCUAGAGAUAUAGCGUACAGCCCGACCCUUG